AUUGAACGCUGGCGGCAUGCCUAACACAUGCAAGUCGAACGAGUGGCGGACGGGUGGGUAAGGCAUGGGAAAUUGCCUGAUGGAGGGGGAUAAAUACUGGAAACGGGGUCUAAUACCGCAUAACUUAGGAGACGCCGUGGUGGGAUUAGCUAGUAGGUGGGGUAAAGGCACACCUAGGCGACGAUCACUAGCUGGUCUGAGAGGAUGACCAGCCACACUGGAACUGAGACACGGUCCAGACUCCUACGGGAGGCAGCAGUGGGGAAUAUUGCACAAUGGGCGCAAGCCUGAUGCAGCCAUGCCGCGUGUAUGAAGAAGGCCUUCGGGUUGUAAAGUACUUUUAGCAGGGAGGCGUUACUCGCAGAAGAAGCAUCGGCUAACUCCGUGCCAGCAGCCGCGGUAAUAC
rnacentral:rRNA from 1 species